ensembl:lncRNA
AAAGCACCUUCAGGCGGUGAAUUUAAUUAAGUGGUAAAAGCACACAAGGAAAAAACCCCACUGCUGACUUGUUCUGGAUUUGGAUGUGUCUGGCUCACACCAAACCGGGGUCAUUCCAUCCCCUUUCAUCAUCAUGAAGUGGCAAGGACAAGGGGACACCACAGCACCCGCAUCGCCCUCGGCUGCCCACAUAUGUGACCAACAUGUCAAGACACGAGGAGUACGUGGUGUGGAUGUUUAUAAGUACAUCGGCAGAAGGCAUUCAUAAAAGGUUAUAAACCGUGGUAAUAAGCAACCCAUCAACUUGUUUGGACUCUAACACUUGAUUAACCAUUUAUUAAAACACGCAGUAAUCAUUUAUAAGCAGUAAGUGGGACCAAAUGCAAUGUACGACUCUUUGUGUUCACGGAUGCCUCCACAAUUCACUUUACCCUGUGCUGUGUGUCCGUGGCUUAAAGGCUCACCACUGCCCAAGGCACUCUGUCCCCACUGCCCCCUCUGUGUAAGAGCCCCCAGGCAUCCCUGUCCCCAUCAGGCACGGGAUGGGAUCCCAGGAGUGGUGGCAGUAGGGGACCCAGUUUGGGGACCUGAGCCGUAGGUCAGGGGCAGAGCCCCACUUCCUGCAGUCCUCACCCAGUGAUGCGGCGAGGGAACUCAGACACCACAACGGCUUCAUCCUUCCCUCAGCAGGACCCUCCUCGUUGUUUGCCAUCGCGCUCCUGCUGCCCUCGGAGCAGCCAUGUUUUCCUUCUUGGUGUCCUAACAAGACCUAAACCCAUAAUUGCUCCCAUUACACAACCAGGAUUGACAUUUUAUUAGCAAUGCUUCCUGACCUAAUUUAUGCUGAUACCGUUGUGCUCUUCCCAUGGCUGUGGGCAAACAAAACCCUUUGGCUUUCGAGCACUGCAGAUGCACGGGCUGCAGGCGAGCACCUGCCCGUUCCCUGCCUCAGUUUCCCUGCACCAAGCAGGGCCAUGGGUUUGCACGGCAGCAGAUGCUGCCUGCAGCCCUAGGAACAACACAUGGCUGUUCAAAGGAAGCUCGGUAGCGGCCCGGCGGGGGGCUUUUUAGCAUGCGUGUGGUGCCGGGUCAUUUGGCUGUAGCCUGCUUUAAUUGCACAGAGCAUGCAGAAAAGGAAGAGGAAGGAUGAGAAUUGCUUGGGAGCAAAGAUUGCAGAGGGUUUGCCUUGGCUUGGAUGGG